UUAAUCAGUAAGGCGCAUCUACAUUUCACGAUUCCGGGACAAAUACAGAUGUGCACACGCUCCUCAGCCUAUGCAGCGACUAUUUUAUUUCUCAUGGACACCCUUUCUAAUUGCACAUUUUUCGUUUGUUACUUUAGCCUGACACCUAAAACAUGACUAGGACAGAAUGCGAGGUUGAUUUUCUGGGGACAGUCGCCACCCCCUUCUUUGCCCUCUCUCUCCUUUGUCUCUCCCAGGUUUCCCCUUCUGCGUCUUCCCACCUCUCCCCUGUUUUUGCGUCCCCGUGUUUCUCACGCCCUGUGUCAUGGCCUCCUCCGUCUUCUCCCGCUCUGUCACAGUCUCCCGCCGGGGGCUAGGGGUGCCCGGCCCGCAUCCCUGGGCGACCCUGAGUCCCCGCAGGCGGCCCCGAGGCCGGGGUGGCUUCCGCAUGGGGUCUCUGCUCGAGGCCUUUCUCUGCCAAGGAGGGAGUGUGGACGCACGGGGAGCCCAGAAGGGCGCUGCACCCACGGGGACCGGACGUGGUGGGCGGACCCCUCCUCCGCGUCCUCGACGGGACAAGCCCGGGGCCCCCAAGGCCUCCGCGCCCCCGGCGGGACGGACACCCCGGGCCACCGCGCGGCCCCCACCACCUACCCGGCCUCGCUGGAUUCCCGGGACCCCCCUCACAAACGAAGCCCUCGAGCUCAUCCCUGACUUGGGAGCGGCUUUGGAAGGAACAGCACCGGACUCUCCCCUCUCGCUGCCUCUCAGUCUGGGUUUCUGUGGAGCGCGUUUCCCAGUCGCUGUCCCUACUCUCUCCCUGUUCCUGCUUUCUCCAUGUUCACCUGCCCCUCCGUUUCCCCUCCCGUCAGCUCCCUCAUCUCGUCUUCGACCGCGUCCCUCGCAUGCAGAUCCGGGAGUCCAAGGAUCCCUCAAAGACCGGCGUGCUGCGGCCUGCACUGAGGAUGCCCGGGCCCCUCCUCUGAGGACCGACUCCCUCUGGCGGCGCCGCUCCUCUCGCCCGCAGGGGGCGCUAUGGGGCGGAGCGGC
rnacentral:lncRNA from 1 species